AGUGGCGAUAGCUACGAGGCACCACCUGUACCCAUACCGAACACAGUAGUUAAGCUCGUAAACGCCGAACCUACUUGGCUGGAGACGGCCCGGGAACAUAGGUAGCCGCU
rnacentral:rRNA from 1 species